CGCGUAGGCGGGCAACCAAGUCUGAGGUGAAAUCCUCCAGCUUAACUGGAGAAGUGCCCGGAUACUGGUUGCCUCGAGGAUGGUAGGGGCAUCUGGAACUAGCGGUGGAGCGGUGAAAUGCGUUGAUAUCGCUAGGAACUCCGGUGGCGAAGGCGAGGUGCUGGACCAUUUCUGACGCUGAGGCGCGAAAGCCAGGGGAGCAACG
rnacentral:rRNA from 1 species